rnacentral:rRNA from 1 species
CCUACGGGCGGCAGCAGUGAGGAAUAUUGGUCAAUGGACGCAAGUCUGAACCAGCCAUGCCGCGUGCAGGAAGACGGCUCUAUGAGUUGUAAACUGCUUUUGUACGAGGGUAAACGCAGAUACGCGUAUCUGUCUGAAAGUAUCGUACGAAUAAGGAUCGGCUAACUCCGUGCCAGCAGCCGCGGUAAUACGGAGGAUUCAAGCGUUAUCCGGAUUUAUUGGGUUUAAAGGGUGCGUAGGCGGUCGGAUAAGUUAGAGGUGAAAUCCCGAGGCUCAACUUCGGAAUUGACUCUGAUACUGUUCAGCUAGAGAGUAGUUGCGGUAGGCGGAAUGUAUGGUGUAGCGGUGAAAUGCUUAGAGAUCAUACAGAACACCGAUUGCGAAGGCAGCUUACCAAGCUACUUCUGACGUUGAGGCACGAAAGCGUGGGGAGCAAACAGGAUUAGAUACCCCAGUAGUC